GGAGGCAACAGCCAUGGCAGCGAUGGUUUUCAGUAAGAUUUGAACCCUGCGUGUUAUUUUCUUUUUUCUGCUUUAACAUUGAACAGCCACAAAUACCUGCCGCCAGUGUCAAUCUUACAGCCGAGACAGCAGUUAUACAGCCUCUAUUUGAAGCCAAGACUGUACAUAACCCUCGAGGUUGCUGGUUGGAUUUGAAAGAAAAAUCUCUUGUUGUAGUUUUAGAGGUUAGUCGUAUUGCUUUUUAAGUGGAUCAGAGUCGACACUCCAUGUUCAUUGGCGGAACUCACCAAGUUUGGAUUGAUACUCCUAUCUACAAAAUGGUUUUGUGUCAUCUAUUAAAAAAUUGUAGACUCUUUCAAUAGAACAGUUGACAGAACAAAUCUAGUAUGGAAAAUGUAGGGGAAGUUGUAUUUCCCAUUAUGAGCUAGUGUGGGUCCCAAGAAUUUUGUAAGUUGAUCAGUCAGGUCUAGUUUAGUGAGUGUGGGCGAUAACUGCUCUAGCAUUGUAUUUAGUUUGUAUGCUUCGGAUCAAUUAACUCUAGAAACCUAAGGUUCUCAUUUUUUCGAACAUGAGAUGUAUCUGUGCUGAAAUUUCAUUUGGUAUAUUUAUUAUCUUUGAUAUGAUUAUGUGGUGAUGAAGUAAGCAUAUUAGGUGGCCAUGUUCAUCUCCUUGCUCCCAUCCCGUGGCUCUACUCAAACUAAGAGGCUUAUAGGUAGAGUUUAGAGAGAGAAAGUGAGCUUCGAUGGAGUCAACCAUAACCAAGACUCUCUCCAUCCUCAUCUCCGUCCCCCUCAACUCCUUCGUCUUCCAUCCUUCCGCUACGUUACCCGAUCGCUGCAUACUGCAUCGCCAAUGCAAGUGGGUGUUUGGCACCAAUGAUCGCAUCACCUUUGGCAUAACCCCCGGAGGGUUGAGUGAGGCUUGGUAGGAAUUGGUAGCUAGAAAGUGCUGACCAUUAUAAGAAUUUCCUUUUUAUAUUGAGUCAACCUUGAACUUUGUGAAUUUGCUGAAGAGAUUGAGAGAGGGAGGGAAGCCUUCUGGCCUGUCUCUCUAUUUCUACCUCCCUCCCUCCCUCAUAUCAAACUGAUCUUCGGCAAAUUCACAAAGUUCAAGGUCCUGAUGACUCAAUAUAAGGAAGAAAUUGUUAUAUUGGUCAGCACUUUGCUAGCUACUAAUUCAUAUCAGGCUUCACUCAAAUCUCUGGUGGUUUAUGCCAAAAGUGAUACAAUCAUUGAUGCCAAACAUCCGUCUCGGCUAAUCGCCCACAGGCUCCGCUGCAUCUACGCCGAUCGCAUCCGCACCCCCGAGCCUCGCUCCGGCCUUGUCUGUCUCCCCCGGUUCCCACGAGGUUCCGCUUGCGAUGCGUUCCGAGCUCCGCUGCUCCUCUCGGCAGAUGUGGCGGCGGCAGAGUCGACGGUGAGGAUGGAAAGGAGAAAUCGGUCUUGGAUGGAGCCGAGGCGGCCUCAGGGGUGUUACCUCCGAUGUCAUCAUUCUCGACGGAAUGACUUGUGGGGGAUGUGCAGCGAGCUUGAAGAGAAUUCUGGAAAAUCAAGUAUCCGCCGCAAGGGUCAAUCUUACAACUGAGACAGCAAUUGUAUGGCCUGUUUCUGAAGCCAAGGCUAUACCUAAUUGGCAAAAGGAGUUGGGGAUAAACACUUGCAAAACACUUAGACAAAUUGUGGCUUAAGUCUAAGGGGUGGUUGACAAGUUCUCGGGAUACUCUUGUGGAUUUGGUUAUGAGAAGCAAGCAAUGGAUGAGGCAAUUGAGGAAAUGAAUGGACUUAUCAUUGAAGAAAAAGUUCAGCCUCAAGGUUCAGGUAGAGGCUGAGAUGGUGAUCGCAGUCGUGAUUGUGGUCAUGAUUGUGGCUCCAGUCAGGACUCUGGUGGUGGACAUGGAGGUGGAGGUGGAGAGUGCUGUAAGUGUGACAAGCCUGGGCAUUGUGCAAGGGAGUGUCCUUGUGAAGGGGGCUGGGGAGGUAGGUAUAGGGGGAGGGAUGACAGGUAUGGAGUUGGUGGUGGUGGGCACUAUGGUCCUGAUUGAAAUGGUGAUCGAUCUGGAGGGCGCAAUAGGGAUAGUGGUACUCAAGGAGGAUCAGGAAAUGCUCCUAUAAUCAGGACCGUUCUGGUCCCUAUGAACAUUGUGGUACAGGGAACUUCCGUCCGGGGUAGAAAGAUUACUACUGAUCGCUAUGCACAUGAUUUUUCAGUCAUAGUAAAGCAGUUGAUUCUGCGCUGAUUGAAAAAUUCUUUGCGCGUGUAGCAGAGCAAUUGGAGGUACUGCUGUUACUUUCUGGAGGUGUCAACGUCCCUUCUGCUGAAUCUCUUGUUUAUGAUUCUCUGGGUGGACAAAUCUGCUUGAUCAGUCUUUUGUUGUGCGAACUUUGGCUAAAAGAUUCUACUGUUUAAUAUCCACGAAUGCUUGUUUUGAUGUUAUGGUCUGACGGCGUUGGUUGCUUGACUUAAACAAUCAAAUUUGGCCUUAAGCUUUCAAUGA